rnacentral:rRNA from 1 species
GGCGAGUGAAGAGGAAAGAGCUCAAAGUUGGAACCUGUUUGGCCUAGCUAAACCGGAUUGUAGACUGUAGAAGUGUUUUCCAGGCAAGCCGAGUAAAUAAGUCCUUUGGAACAGGGCAUCAUAGAGGGUGAGAAUCCCGUCUUUGGCUUGAGCAUUUGCCUUUUGUGAUACGCUUUCAAAGAGUCAGGUUGUUUGGGAAUGCAGCCUAAAUUGGGUGGUAAAUCUCACCUAAAGCUAAAUAUUGGCGAGAAACCGAUAGCGAACAAGUACCGUGAGGGAAAGAUGAAAAGAACUUUGAAAAGAGAGUUAAACAGUAUGUGAAAUUGUUAAAAGGGAACCGUUUGGAGCCAGACUGGCUUGUCUGUAAUCAAUCUAGGCUUCGGCCUGGAUGCACUUGCAGGCUAUGCCUGCCAACGACAAUUUGACUUGAGGGAAAAAACUAGGGGAAAUGUGGCCCACUUGUGGGUGUUAUAGUCCCUUAGAAAAUACCUUGGGUUGGAUUGAGGAACGCAGCGAAUGCUUUUUGGCGAGUUUUCCAGGAAGGUUUUCUGAGGUACUACGGUAUCAAGGUUGAUCUUUUUGGUUAUACUUCUAUUCGCUUAGGUUGUUGGCUUAAUGACUCUAAAUGACCCGUCUUGAAACACGGAC